rnacentral:misc_RNA from 1 species
GAUGAAGAACGCAGCGAAAUGCGAUAAGUAGUGUGAAUUGCAGAAUUCAGUGAAUCAUCGAAUCUUUGAACGCACAUUGCGCCCCUUGGUAUUCCAUGGGGCAUGCCUGUUCGAGCGUCAUUUGUACCUUCAAGCUCUGCUUGGUGUUGGGUGUUUGUCUCGCCUCUGCGUGUAGACUCGCCUCAAAACAAUUGGCAGCCGGCGUAUUGAUUUCGGAGCGCAGUACAUCUCGCGCUUUGCACCCAUAACGACGACGUCCAAAAGUACAUUUUUACACUCUUGACCUCGGAUCAGGUAGGGAUACCCGCUGAACUUAAGCAUAUCAAUAAGCGGAGGA